CCUACGGGUGGCAGCAGUGGGGAAUAUUGCACAAUGGGGGAAACCCUGAUGCAGCGACGCCGCGUGAGUGAAGAAGUAAUUCGUUAUGUAAAGCUCUAUUAGCAGGGAAGAAAAUGACGGUACCUGAGUAAGAAGCCCCGGCUAACUACGUGCCAGCAGCGGUGGUAAUACGGAGGGGGCAAGCGUUAUCCGGAUUUACUGGGUGUAAGGGGCGCGUAGACGGCAGUGAAGGUCUGGAGUGAAAGGCGGGGGCUCAACCCCCGGACUGCUCUGGAAACUGUACGGCUUGAGUGCAGGAGAGGUAAGUGGAAUUCCUAGUGUAGCGGUGAAAUGCGUAGAUAUUAGGCAGAACACCAGUGGCGAAGGCAGCUUACUGGGCUGUAACUGACGUUGAGGCUCGAAAGCGUGGGGAGCAAACAGGAUUAGAUACCCGAGUAGUC
rnacentral:rRNA from 1 species